rnacentral:misc_RNA from 1 species
AUCCGCGCCAAGAAUCCGCUGAUCGCGGACCAGAUCGCCAACAACUACCGUAAGGCCGACAUCACGCCGCGGCAGCGCGCCAUGCUCGAUUUCGCGGUCAAGGUUUGCCUGGAAUCACAAAAGACGUCGGCUCAGGAUUUCGAGGUGCUGCACGGCCACGGUUUCAGCGACGACGAUAUCUGGGACAUUGCGGCGAUUGCAGCGUUCUUUGCACUGUCAAAUCGCAUGGCAAGCGUGACCGACAUGCGGCCCAACGACGAAUUCUAUAUGAUGGGCCGCGUACCGAAGGCGUAACGUGUUUGUUUGGACUGCGUUGCUCGACUGGUGGGACAUCAUUCUGCGGCUCGGGGUCGCGACCGUCGCCUCCGGGAUCAUCGGCCUUAACCGCGACCUGCAUGGAAAGCCGAUUGGCC